UGUUGUUAUCUUUAAAAAUUAUUAAUGUGUCAUUUCAACAUAAAAUAUUUAUGUCAAGUGAAUUAGGACUGAAAUUCUUCUUCCAUCCAGAAGGUGGCAGUAGUAAAAUGUCUGCUGCCAUAAAUUAUAUAGAGAAACUGCGCAUGCGUAAUUCCAGUUGAAGGACAACGUCUUUGUGCAUUUUCUGGCGGAAAGUUUGAUCUUUUGGUUGAGUUUAAAAAAGGUCCUGAAGGAUUGCUUUAACCUGUGCUGCCUGCUGGCUGGUUAAGGCACUGUACUCACUCAACAGAUCUGGCUAUAGCCUAUAUGUGCUCCCUCCUUCAUUGAUGUGGCGUAGGUGGCAUUGCUGACUCUGCAAACGACUUAAAUGUGGCAGUGUAAGGGUUGCAGUUCAAAAACCUCAACUAGGGUCCAGUUACUUAAACAUUAUAGGUUAAAUCAUCCACAUUAUGGGCGCAGGCACCCAUAUCCUUGCCCAUAUAUUAGCUGUCCGUGUACAUUUAAGUCAUGGAAUGCUCUCAGGUCGCAUAUAUGCCGAGUCCAUAAGAGAGAGACAUCACAGCAUACAUUGUCUUUGGCCACAUUCACCUGUCAUGUUUGUGGAUUCUCUGAAGUUAGCUCUGAAAAGGAGUAUUUUACUCAUAUCAAUUUGCAUCUCAAAGCCAAUGAAACAGUUUCCUGCACAUUCAAGGGUUGUACAUUUAGGACAAACAUCUAUGGGACAUUUAAAUCGCAUAAAAACAGAAAGCACCUUGGUUAUUCUUACAGUGACUUUAAAGAUGGAAUAGUUGCAGUACAAAACAGUUUUGAAACCCCAAGUCUUUCAGUUGAACAUGGAGGCAGUGAACUAUUAGAAGAAGCCCAGCUCGAGGAACAGUCUAGUUUUCAGUCAGACAGGUCAGAAAAUGUUGAAAAGAUGAUAGAAGAGAAAUUUGCAGC